AUUCAGUGGGAUUCUUGCUUGCCUGCACCGUUAGACAGAUUAGUUAUCACUCUUUAGAUGUAUCUGCAUGCCUGGCUAAAUAACAAAAGCUUUUGCUGACAUCCAAGCAUCCUCUAGGCUGCAAGUAUAACAGAAAUCUUAAGCCUGAUAAAAACAGGCCUGGUGUGUAAUGCUACCGUGUUUGCCUACUUCCAGGAACUGAACAAAUAGUUCAAAUUUUAUGUGUUUAUGGAGCUUGCAGUUUGUCCAAUCCCAUAUAAUAUUUAUUUAGCCAUAGGCUUGAGUGUUUACACUGAAGGCUAUUCCGGGAAAUACUGAGUUGUUUCUAACUGGAUUAAAUGAAUUAUAUUUAUCAGGAAUUCAAAGAACAAGCAAUGUUUGGCAGACUCUUUCCUCAGAUAUAAAUAAAAGCCAAGACAACAUGCCUAAAUUAGGGUAUGCUGAAAAGAGGUAAGCAGGAGAAAACAGCUAUUUAAGACCACAUUGGUCCACUCAUAUGUGAAGGAUACGGAAGGAGGAAGAGCGGUGGAAAUGUUUAAUGAGAAAAUCAGAGAUAAGCAAAUGUUGUGCCACUGACUCCCUGGUGGAUUUGCUUCAUGAAUAAUGCUCGACGCCGGCCUUGGCGAGCCCGCUCUGCGACCUGGAUCAUCUUAAUGGCUUCUUCAAACCUCAUGGCCUCGACAGGUUUCUUCAGCAGCAUAGCCAAAGAGGAAAGGACAAAGCAGAGCAGUUUUGUUAGCUGCCUACCUGUGUUAGCAGAUGAGACAGUGAAUUAACCUCAAGUGGGGAACCUCCUAAGACAAAACAUCUCUGCUACAAACAGCAUCCCAGAUAGGUAGGUGGCAAGGCUGGACGUAGCAGAAUGAAUGGAUGGAAGAUAGAGAGAAAACAGAUACUAAAGCUCCGGGGCACACCCCUGAGCAGUGAGGAACUCCUGAUGCUAUAGUGGGAAACACAAAUGGUUUAUGCAAGCUGCUAAGUGUUAUCCAUUUGGGGAGAAAAGGCAUGAAGAACCACAGGGCUUUCUCCCCCUUAAAAGAAAACUCCUUGGGCUGUGGGUCUUCGUUUGUUUGUUUUUCCUCUGGUUUCUGUAGGGAUGGGUUUCUGGAUGGGUUUCUGGAUCUUCAGCUCUUUUACUGAAUGAAAGGACAGGCUGAUUUGAGCCAGCCAGAUGUGGUCAGAAGGUCUGGAUUAGGAAAAGAAGCAUGUCAGAAUGGGGCAGCUGGAGAGAACUCCUCCUUCUCAGUCCUGAGAACUCGUCAAUGCCUCGUGCUCCCCACGGAAAGGCUGAAUUAUUGUCCUUUCCUGACAUUAAUCCCCCUAUUGGAGACAGUUCACAUUCAGUGCUUCUAUAUACAUGGUGUGGAGCUCACUAUACAACAUUUUCAGCAGGGCUUUCUACGAUGGAAAUACACAGGAGAACAAAUGGUCUGCGGAGCGGAUUCCUCUGAUAAACCCAUGUCCUCUGAUAAAACUCCACAGUUCUGUGUGUACUCUCAGCUGUUUGUAACAGGGCUGCCAAGGACACUCAGCAGCACAGUGCUCUGCUGCACAGCAGUCAGGAUUUCCUGAGUGUACAUGGCUUGCAGUGAUGCGUACAGAGGUGCUGACAGCCCUCCAGCAAUCGCAGCGGUGGUGGAACUGGAGUAUAGCACAAGGCAUGGGAUUCACACUGGGUUCAUAUGAGAUUGUUUUCUUCAUGUUUAUUGAAUCUUGUUGUGACAUCCUGGCGCAGGGGACCUGGACCCUGCCAGAGCCUGGUGCUUCCAGGUGAGCUGGCUGCACGCUGCAAAGGCUCACCUGUUAAUGGCUGCCAUGCUGAAAAGGGAUGAGAACAGAGCUGUGGGAAACAAAAAGGCUCCAAGAAGUAACGUGCUGGAACAGAGGAUCUCCACAGACCAACAUCAGACCAUUACAGAAUUUACCCAUAAAUUUACUGCGGGGGCCAGCGGGGCUGCAGCUGCCCAUUAAAGUAAUCUAGCAGAAAGCCUGUGUUCUGCCUCUGCAGACUGCCUCUUUCUGUCCCUGGGAACCUUCCCUCAGUCGCUUUGUGGGAUCAAUGCUACCGCAUACCCAGCAGGGAGGCAGACUUCCCCCAGCAGCACAAUUACUGCGGAGGAUUCGGUGGCUGUGGGUCUGAUCAGCACCGUCUCUUACGGCUGCAGAACCUACAAACCUCAGUCUGCAGACACAGCAGCCCAGUUGUUUAUUUCAGGAGGCGAGAGGGCUGCUUGCAGGCAGCGUGCCAUUUCCAAGAGGUCAAAAGUAUAUCAAAUCCAGAACAGUCUUCUCCGGAGCACUCGUGUACUUCUCCAUAAUGACUUCUGCUCUGCCAAAACCCAAUGUGCUACUCCUCCUAGCAGCUGCAGCUCGAUGGCUGUGCAGAAGAGACUGCAGUCAUUGUUCGGAGGUUAUAAACAACUGAAUGCUAGCGGUUGUGCUGAGCUGAACUCUGAGUUUUGCCCAUUCCAGCCAGAAACCCUGGCUCAGGAAAACCGAAGCCCACCUUGAUUUCAGUAGGGCUGAUUAUGUGAUGAGAGGCAAAUAAAGCACCUCCUAAACUUGGCCCAAGCACCGCACUUUCUCUGGCACUCGCACACACAGAGUCAAUUCAUUUCUUAAGUCUUAGGCUCGAGAUGUGACUGGGUAUUAUUAGGCAGGAAAACUCAAUGCUACUUUCUGUUUGAGCCUCAUCUGCAAAUAGACUUAACCACUAUUAAAAUCCUUCUUACUUCAGUGGCUCACGCUCAGACAUGCAUGGCUACGAGGUACAGAAGUUAAGCACCUUAUUGUGUAGGUAUAUGGCACGCUUACCUCUGUUUCCAAUCCAGCAUUCAACAAAAUCUCAUGCAGGGUUUUCUCUCUCUGCUGCAAGCCUUCCAGGUUCUCUUUAACAAAAUAUUCUGGGAUAGGUAUUUCUGUGUCUUCCUAUAGGAAGAAACAGUCGCGAGGUGCUUUUUAGAACUGCAUGCAAAUCAUAUUAGCUGCACACCUUUACAAAGCAAUUACAUUGGAGUGAGGUUAUUGAAUUUUUUUGCAGUGUGAGGACCUCUGUUACAGCUGCCGAGCUGUUGCUUUGCAAUUACUUAAGGCCUAAUUCAACAACAACAAAUAAAUCAGCCCAGUUUCUGAACCAUAGCAGACCAGAAAUCUUUCUUUCUAUAAUGGCUCAAUUAUAUUAUGAAACUGUUAAAACAUUUGGCAGGGCUGCCAGUAAUUUAAACAUGAUUUCCGUGGAAUUGAAUACCUCUGGCUGUGUGAUCAUCCCACUUCUUUUUUUAAUCAGCAUGAAAAAUAGAUCAGUUCUCCUGCAUUUUUUGGAACCAUUACAGGGAACCAAAGCAUAUAAUUCAGUUUGCCUUCAGGUGUUUUUGCACUGCCAGCGACUGGGAUAUCUCAGUUACUACUCAAAAUCAGGCCUGAUUAGAAGAGGUUGUUUUUAUUCAUUUCCAUCAUUAAAAGGAUGUAACCAAUUCACAUUUCUCCCAACUCCUCUCCCACAAGACAUGGACAGGCAGACAGAAAUGCCUCAAAAGUAAAGAUGCUGCUGUGGCAUAACCUGUCCUUUGUAUUGUAUUGAAUCAUAGACCGGCCUGGGUUGAAAAGGACCUCAAAGAUCAUCUAGUUUCAACCCCCUGCUGUGGGCAGGGUCGCCAGCCACCAGACCAGGCUGCUCAGAGCAGGUGGUUUGUCUGCAUGCCCUUCCAUAUGAUGAGUCAGUGCAGGGAUGGGGAGCUGCUCUGGUAGCUGACCUGGACUUUAAUCACCAGUAAUUCUGGGCUGUGACUUUUACUGAAUGCAAAGAUGAAACCCAAGCCAUAAUACUGAGACUGGCAGGGGUGGGGAGUACAGAGACAGCUUCUCUUCAUAAUCUCUUUUUGAGGCCCAACGCUGAAAGACUGGACUUAAGAUGUUUAUCCUCACGUCAAAUUUGCAGCCUUUUAGCCAACACCCAGCUCCAUAUGGGACGCGUGUAUCCAAAUACCUUUAUAAUUACCCUAGUAAAUGGAGUCACUGAGUGCUGGAAGGCAACUGUACAGAAAUCAGAGGAAGAUGAAACUUGGCCCUGCCUCUCCCUAGCAAUACAGCAAAAAGGAAACGUGGUACAAAACCUCUCCAGCUCUUUUUGUUUUAUUUUUACUUCUAUCUUUGUAGUAGCUAGGCACUUCGUGCCUUCCUAAAAUGAAGGUGUGGCACAGAGGUUUGAAUUUGUGCUUGGCUUUUGCUAGAUGUCAAGCACUGCUUUUCAGGCUUGCCAGCUCUCCCCUGCAGGUGAAUUUACUGAUAAGGCAUGAAAAGAGCAAUCCUUAAUGAUUUCAGAAUACCACUUGAAGGAUCAGCUCCCCCACAGGUGUGUUUAUACUCUCCAGUACGCCUUCUCAUAGCUUAAAAUAAUGCUCUGCUGUGCUUAAAAGCGAAGGGAUGGUUGAAAUACUUGGCAACUGCUAGCCUAUAUUCGCAGCGUGAAAUACACGUGCAAUUUCAAACAGUACUAUGGCUGCAUAUCUCAGAAUAAUGCUAUAUAGGAGGUAAUUUAUCUCAAGGUAUAGCCGAGAUCCAGGAAGCAGCUGUACUUGAAGCUUCAAUUCCUUUCCUUUUGAAGAGCCAGUGGUACCUAAAUGUGACAAUAGAUGGAGCUGUCUGCGAGAGAAGCAACUAUCUGUUAACAGCUCAUUUCCCACACUGCUUUCACAGCACGACCUCAAGGUUCUGCCUUAUAACCAAGGCAGACGUACCGGGAGAAGCUUUAGAUCUUCAAUGACGUUAUCGGUGUAAUGAAACUCCGAGUUCUCCAGCCCCACCAUCUCUUUCUUCAUCUCCAGGAUCCGGCCAAUCACUCCAUCCAGCACUCGCCGAAUCGCUGCCCGUUUUUGCUGGUGAAUGAGGUGGCUGUGGGCCUCCUCCAGGCGAUGGAGGAUCUGCAGGUAGUUGAUGUAGGAAGCAGCCAGCAUCCUGAAUGCUUUCACGUGGUCCUUCUCCGGCUGGAGGAACUGCUCUCUCUCUGUCUGGAGCUGGGCGUCAAGGUCUUUCUGGGCAUUUGUCCAUAACCUAUUGUACGUGCUGAUAGAAAAGAGGAGACUGUCUUAAUGAGACAUAACAGCUAGCACACAGUGAUGUCAGGAAUCUACACACGCCUGCUAGUGCAAACCAUUCUAUUUCCAAAGGGAAAGGGCUGUAUUGGUGCCGACACAAGAGUGUAUCGGCGUGUGCAAUUUCAGAAGUGAAGGAUCAAUUCUUUUCAUUGCAUGCCAAGCAGCUGCCAGGCAUGUGGUCCAGUGGCCAAAGGGACAUGGAAGAUGUCACCUAAUGCCAGCUUCGUUUGCAGUAAUGGAUGGUAAUGCCAUUUAUCCAAAGACUUCUGCUCUUUUAGUAGGAACGGGCUGAGCUCUGAUGGAUUGGCCAUCAGUGGCUUUCCAUGCUGAAAGCAGAUUGGUGCUGAAUAAAGAAACUAACCAGAAGAAUUACUUAUGUUCAGGCGCAAACCCAAGCAGUGGGUUUGUCACUUAAAGGUGGUAACGAAAGAUCCUUAUAGCUGGUUCUGUUCUGCUUCCCAAACUCUCUUCUAACAGAGAAAGCUGACUUGUUUCUUGGACCUAGAAAUAAGGCUGCUGAGCUCAGUGGUUAAAUCUAGCUCCAUCCACGCGCUCAACCUGGCCAUUGCUUGCAGCUCUGAGAACCUCAGAGAGUAGCAUGAAGACAGUAAAACACCCUGCCUUCAUUAAGUGAGCUUUCAGAGCAGGCCUCUUGCUGUUCUGAGCAGCACUCAUGUAUUCAUUCUGACAAGAAAGCUGAGCAGCUGUUAACUUUGCUUGUGCUUGAUAAUGAAGGCCUAAGUUGGAUCUCUAUCAGCUGAUCUUAUCAUUCCCAACCUCAGAGUACAGAAUGACCCACUUCCACUGCAUGAG
rnacentral:lncRNA from 1 species